CCUACGGGAGGCAGCAGUGAGGAAUAUUGGUCAAUGGGCGCGAGCCUGAACCAGCCAAGUAGCGUGAGGGAGGACGGCCCUACGGGUUGUAAACCUCUUUUGUAGAGGAAUAACGUGCGGCACGUGUGCCUCUUUGUAUAUUCUUUGUGAAUAAGGAUCGGCUAAAUCCGUGGCAGCAGCCGCGGUAAUACGGAGGAUCCGAGCGUUUUUCGGGUUUAUUGGGGUUUAAGGGGGCGUAGAUGGGUUGGUAAAGUAGGUGUGAAAGUUUGCGGCUUAAACGUAUAACUGCCAUUGAUACUGGCGGUCUUGAGUGGAGGUGAGGUAGGCGGAAUGCGUGGUGUAGCGGUGAAAUGCAUAGAUAUCACGAAGAACCCCGAUUGCGAAGGCAGCUUACCAAAUUGCGACUGACGCUGAAGCACGAAAGCGUGGGGAUCAAACAGGAUUAGAUACCCCUGUAGUC
rnacentral:rRNA from 1 species